UACAGAGACUGCAAGCGUUAUUCGGAUUCACUGGGCGUAAAGGGUGCGCAGGCGGCCGUGUGUGUCAGGUGUGAAAGCCCGGAGCUUAACUCCGGAAUUGCGCCUGAAACUACAUGGCUAGAGCAUUGGAGAGGGUAGCGGAAUUCACGGUGUAGCAGUGAAAUGCGUAGAUAUCGUGAGGAACACCAGAGGCGAAGGCGGCUACCUGGACAAUUGCUGACGCUCAGGCACGAAAGCGUGGGGAGCAAACGGG
rnacentral:rRNA from 1 species